UAUGGUCACAUCACACUGAAAUACCAGUUCCUGUAUGAUCGCCAAAGUUAAGCAACAUUGAGCCUGGUCAGUACCUAGAUGGGUGACUGCUUGGGAAUAACAGAUGCUACAA